AGUGAACGCUGGCGGUAGGCCUAACACAUGCAAGUCGAACGGCAGCACAGUAAGAGCUUGCUCUUACGGGUGGCGAGUGGCGGACGGGUGAGGAAUACAUCGGAAUCUACUUUUUCGUGGGGGGUAACGUAGGGAAACUUACGCUAAUACCGCAUACGACCUACGGGUGAAAGCAGGGGAUCUUCGGACCUUGCGCGAUUGAUUGAGCCGAUGUCGGCUUAGCUAGUUGGCGGGGUAAAGGCCCCCCAAGGCGACGAUCCGUAGCUGGUCUGAGAGGAUGAUCAGCCACACUGGAACAGAGACACGGUCCAGACGCCUACGGGAGGAAGCAGUGGGGAAUAUUGGACAAUGGGCGCAAGCCUGAUCCAGCCAUACCGCGUGGGUGAAGAAGGCCUUCGGGUUGUAAAGCCCUUUUGUUGGGAAAGAAAAGCAGCAGGUUAAUACCCCGCUGUUCUGACGGUACCCAAAGAAUAAGCACCGGCUAACUUCGUG
rnacentral:rRNA from 1 species